GUCUUACAAAAUGCCAUCUGAGUGCGUGUGAAGCAAAGGUAGCCAUCUGGGAGAGGUUCAGUUUUGGUCAGCCUUGUGAAAAUUAUACAUUGUAGACUGGCAUCUCCUUCAGCAGAAAUCCAGGGGCGCUGGAAACUGUUACUAGAAUGAAAGUGCCAAAGCUUGUGCAUAGAAGACUGUCAUCAAAAUGAUUGCUUCAGGGCAGAAAAGGCAAUUCUGGAUAAUUAGAUCUUAUAGCAGGCUUUCUUACAUCCUGUAUAUAAGAACCAUCAGGCUAUUAGAAUCAUUGAAGCCUUUUGCUGAAUAUGUGCAAGAGAUCAAUCUGUCAAUCUACCAAGUAUGCUGAGAGAACGAAUACAGAGUGAGCAGCAUAUCAAGAAAACGAAGGGUUCAUGCAACCCUUAGCACAUAGAGAAAUCAUUAUUGCACAUAUGUAGUGGUAAUGCUAAUUCAGGGCUUGAAGCAGUGAUUGUUCACCUGGUAGGAAGGUAGUCAGGUGCAAACGAGGCACCUGUGUGACUGGAGGAGGUGGAGCCAGGAUCUAUUCCUUUCAUUUAAAGGUUGGCAGCAGUGUAUCUUGUUUAGAGAUCCCUGUGUUCCUUGAGGACGUUAUAAGCUGGCCUAAGGUAAGCUGCUUCUUUCCCUUACUUCUCUGGCUGUUACCAU
rnacentral:lncRNA from 1 species